rnacentral:rRNA from 1 species
CUAGAUUGACGCUGGCGGCAUGCCUAACACAUGCAAGUCGAACGAGAAAGUUCCUUCGGGAGCGAGUACAGUGGCGGACGGGUGAGUAAUGCAUGGGAAUCUGCCCAGUAGUGAGGAAUAACCCGGGGAAACUCGGGCUAAUACCGCAUACGUCCUACGGGAGAAAGCGGGGGAUCUUCGGACCCCGCGCUACUGGAUGAGCCCAUGUCAGAUUAGCUUGUUGGUGGGGUAACGGCCUACCAAGGCAACGACCUGUAGCUGGUCUGAGAGGACGAUCAGCCACACUGGGACUGAGACACGGCCCAGACUCCUACGGGAGGCAGCAGUGGGGAAUAUUGGACAAUGGGCGAAAGCCUGAUCCAGCAAUGCCGCGUGUGUGAAGAAGGCCUGCGGGUUGUAAAGCACUUUCAUCAGGGACGAAAAUCCCGGGGCGAAUACCCCCGGGCCUUGACUUAACCUGAACAAGAAGCACCGGCUAACUCCGUGCCAGCAGCCGCGGUAAUACGGAGGGUGCGAGCGUUAAUCGGAAUUACUGGGCGUAAAGCGCACGUAGGAGGCUGAAUCAGUCAGAUGUGAAAUCCCCGGGCUCAACCUGGGAAUUGCAUUUGAUACUGUUCGGCUAGAGUCUGGCAGAGGUAAGCGGAAUUCCGGGUGUAGCGGUGGAAUGCGUAGAUAUCCGGAAGAACACCAGUGGCGAAGGCGGCUUACUGGGCCAAGACUGACUCUGAGGUGCGAAAGCGUGGGGAGCGAACAGGAUUAGAUACCCUGGUAGUCCACGCCGUAAACGAUGUCAACUAGCCGUUGGAUCCGUUUGAGGAUCAAGUGGUGAAGCUAACGCGAUAAGUUGACCGCCUGG